GAUGAACGCUGGCGGCGUGCCUAAUACAUGCAAGUCGAGCGAACAGACGAGGAGCUUGCUCCUCUGACGUUAGCGGCGGACGGGUGAGUAACACGUGGAUAACCUACCUAUAAGACUGGGAUAACUUCGGGAAACCGGAGCUAAUACCGGAUAAUAUAUUGAACCGCAUGGUUCAAUAGUGAAAGACGGUUUUGCUGUCACUUAUAGAUGGAUCCGCGCCGCAUUAGCUAGUUGGUAAGGUAACGGCUUACCAAGGCAACGAUGCGUAGCCGACCUGAGAGGGUGAUCGGCCACACUGGAACUGAGACAAGGUCCAGACUCCUACGGGAGGCAGCAGUAGGGAAUCUUCCGCAAAGGGCGAAAGCCUGACGGAGCAACGCCGCGUGAGUGAUGAAGGUCUUCGGAUCGUAAAACUCUGUUAUUAGGGAAGAACAAAUGUGUAAGUAACUAUGCACGUCUUGACGGUACCUAAUCAGAAAGCCACGGCUAACUACGUG
rnacentral:rRNA from 1 species